rnacentral:rRNA from 1 species
CACGUAGGCGGAUCAGUAAGUCAGGUGUGAAAUCCCUCGGCUCAACCGAGGAACUGCGCCUGAUAACUGCUAGUCUUGAGGGCAGGAGGGGAGAGUGGAACUCUUGGUGGAGCGGUGAAAUGCGUAGAUACCAAGAGGAACGCCGGUGGCGAAAGCGACUCUCUGGCCUGUUUCUGACGCUGAGGUGCGAAAGCUAGGGGAGCAAACA